rnacentral:misc_RNA from 1 species
AGAAGCUUAUACCUUCUCACCUUAUUUCUAAACGCUUGCUUUGGGGUCCCAAUAUUGUUUGAUAUCUCUUCAGAUUUUGUCCUUCUAAUAAGCUUCUCUUCUAAUUUACCAUUUGAGAUGAGUCUCCUUCGGGUCACUGGUGAUCUCUCUGGUGACCUUUGUUUCUUGAUGGGGCUAUUCAUUUGCAGCUGAAGACUACCUCUUUGGCUCUUUAAUCCUCCUUUGUUCUUGUUCUGGCUGUUCUUGCUGCUGUCAUCCUCGCUGCUGUUUUUGUUUGAUGAUGAUGAAUUCGAAGAAGUCUGUGGUUUUUCUUUGGUUUCAUGGCUUAGACACCAGUUACAGACUUGGUAGGACUCAGCUUUGGGAAAAAGAUUACUACAGUAUCUGUGCUGAGAU